rnacentral:rRNA from 1 species
CAAUAGCAUAUACUAGUAUUGUUGCGGUUAAAACGUUCGUAGUCGGAUUACUAACUCAUUACAAUAUCAUUUAGUUUAUUACUUGUUUAUAGUUAACUUUAAUAGAAUUUUUGGUAUUGUUUUGGAGUCUAUAUUGGUAUAGCUCUGAGAUGUUACAUUUCCUCGAAGGGUUAUAUUGAUAAGUUACCUUGAGAAAAUUUAGGUGUUCAAAGCAAGCGUAAUGCUCUGAAUACAAUAGCAUGGAAUAACACCGAUAGGACUCUGACCUGUCGAUAGUUGGCAAAUAGGAUCGGAGAUAUGAUUAAUAGGAACAGUCGGGGGUAGUCGUAUUCCAUUGUUAGAGGUGAAAUUCUUUGAUCAAUGGAGGACGAACAACUGCGAAGGCAUCUACCAAGAAUGUUUUCAUUGA